rnacentral:rRNA from 1 species
GUUGGUGAACCAGCGGAGGGAUCAUUACUGA